UGACUGCUAAUUUAUGUGACAAGAGAGAAAGCCUCACCUACUGACAGGUUAUUCAUCCCACAAGUGCUAGGAUCCUCCUCAGCGCUGCCUGCUCCUGUAAUUCCCGCAGAAAGGAACAGCUGACCAGAACCCUCAGUGCCAGCUCCCAUCUCUCUGUUUUGUCCUGAUGAGCUUUACACCAGAGGAGAAUUACAGCCUGCUCUGUGGCGAGCAAUUUGAAGGCAUAAAGGAAUGCAGUCGUGGAAUAAAACCCGCUCUGUGUGCCGUGAGAUAACUUCACCUGCCACAGAAAACGAGCGGUGACUCGGAGGCAGGCAAACAGAAUGGUGAGCGCGCCUUGGGCUACGUUUGCAGCGUGUUUUCUUGGGAGAUCAAAGCUAAAAUCCCAUUAACCCUUCAAAUGUCAGCCUGGUCAGCCUUCAUUACCCUCCUGGCAAGUGGCUGAAUGAGGUUUUCUUGGCCAGCAGAGCCAUUUUGGAGCAAAUUAGGAUUUUUUGGGUGCUUGUUAAAGACCUCUUGGACAUCAGGGUUGUGGCACCAUCCUGGGGAUGUCCCACCACAGGCACCUCCAGAAGGAGGCAUGGAGCUGUCUCUGAAAGCCCUGGGAGACACAAAAAGCCAGCGGUGAUGGAAUCCACAGUGGGGAACAAACUUAUUUGGACGUUCAAGCUGGAACAGGUGAACACAAACUUUCCAGGUGGCUCGCAGAAAAUGCGACCUGGAUCCAAAUGGCCACUGAGAGCUGAGCCCCAAACCUCCUCAGACAGCCAAAGAUGGAGAAGAAAAGUCAAAUUUAACCUUCCACAGGUUGUCCUGACACAGGAAACAUUUCUAGGUUUAUCCUGCAACCAAAGCAUUUGUGAUGUGUAGAUUAUUUCAUUUUUCUCUGUGCUUUUUGGAGGGUGGAUCCUUACUCCAACAAGGCAGCCUCUCAAGACAUCACCUCCAGCUCAGAAUAUUCCACGAUCCAGGAAUAAAAGUGGCUCAAUCCUGCAGGAAACAUCUCAGGUGACCCAGGAUUGAGCAGUGCUCAUUGUGACCCCCCUGCCCUGCAGGAGCCCCAAGCCACGCUGCUGGGGCACGAAGGGCAGGAUCUGUGCCCAGUUUGUGCUUCAUGGGCAGAGAAACUCGCUGUGUUCUCAUGGAAAAAUAUUUCCCAACCAGCCGCGUAAUGAGAGCUCUUCAGCAUCCCGAGGUCUGGCAGCUCUUGGGGUUGAAACUGAAGUAGAAAAGAUUUCUGUCUUGGAUUCGGUGCCUGUGUUGUACUUCCAAAACCCCUGAGAUUGAGGAGCUCUCCUCAACAGCUGUACAGGUGCACGUGCUGGAAGAAAUUUAGGGGUUGUCACAAUUCCAGCCCAAUUUCUGCUCGUGGCAGAGGUGAUAUUUUGAUAAAUAAUCAAAAUGAAUGGAUUCUGAGAAAACUGAAAGGGAUUUAUCCCCACUAGGAUAAAUGGUGAAGCCCUUCCUCUAAAAAUCUUGUUAAUUAUGGGAAUCAGGAGUUUUUGCGCAGAGCAUUCCUGUUGGUUUAAUCUGUUGCCUUCUGCAGGCACCAAGUUUGACCCCAAAUCCCCGUUUUUCCCUAGAAAUGAGAUGAAUUGAGGUGAACCUGCCCUCCCAGCAGUGGGACAGGGCAGUUUGACCCCAAAUCCCCAUUUUUCCCUAGAAAUGAGAUGAAUUGAGCUGAACCUGCCCUUCCAGCAGCGGGACAGGGCUGCCAGCGCAGUUUGACCAAAAAUCCCCAUUUUCCCACAAAAAUGAGCUGAAUUGAGCUGAACCUGAGGCUCAGAGCCCACGGGGCUGGCACUGAACGCAGGAUGGAUCCCAGGAUGGAGCCCAGCCCUCCCUCCCUGCCACCACAACAGCACCUGGGCCUAAAUUUAGCUCCAGACCUGCCACACUCUUCAAGCCAAACUGGGACAAGCCUGAUAGGAGCAGCUCAGAGAUAAAAUAUUCCAGGUCUUUCUCAUUACAAUUCUCCUCAUGCAAGAUUAUCUUUGAUUUUUUUUUUUUUUUUUUCCAUAGCUCCUCCACACUGGCAGCCAGAGGCUUUGUUUAAAACACAUCCAUCAUUAUCACUGUAAUGUAUUAUUAUUAUUAUUACUUAUUCAUUCAUAUAGCAUUUUUCUCCCACCAAGCCAGGAAUCAAAGUGGUUUACACUCUUGCUGUCUGAAAGCAAUCUGAAAGGAGAAAUUAAGGGCGGGGGGUGGGGGGGAGAGUGUUAAAAAUACCUAAAUAAAUCUGUGAAACUGGGUGCAGGUUCAUGGUGAAAACUCCAGGUCGGAGUAGGGAGGCAGAAAAAAUAAUGGUGAGGAGCUGUGGGUAGCUGGGAAAGGGAUUUUGUUGUGUAACAAGGUAUGAAAGGGAAUUUAGAAGAGGUUUUGCCUCGUCUCAUGCCUCGAAGGGUGUUCUCCAGGUAGCUGUGUGUGAUACACAAUAGAUCAGCUCUGAAGCAGGAAUCCAGAGCUGGCUUCAGCACGGGGACAUCUGGGAGUUCAGGUGGAGAUUUAUGGCAUAAUUAAUGAGGAUGGAGGCUGGUGCAGAAUUCCAGUGAUACUCACAUUUUCGGUUCUGCGGGUCUGGGCUUUAUUUGCAGUUAUAUUAAAAAAAAAAAAAAAGCCCAAAACCAGAACAAAACCCAAACCAAACAAACAAACAAAAAAACCCAAAAAAUCACAAAAAAAGCCCCAAAACCAAAACCAAACCAAAACAAAACAAAACCCAAAACCCAAAAACACAAAACCAAAAAAACCCCCAAAUAAAUGUAAAGAAGGGACUUCUGAGGUUAGCUAUGAAAGAAGGGAGGUGAAACCCAAAUGAACCCCUAAUUCUGCCCUUCCAAACAUUAAAACCACCUCACAUCUGCCUCACCCCAACAAAACCCUGCAAAGGCAGUGUGACAUCUUGAUUUUAGAGCCUGGAGAACCCUGAAGCCUUCAAUAAUUCAUUGUUUUCUCCUCCUAAUUUCCUCCCCUGCUCCGAACGUGCCCCGCGCGUUUCUCGCUCAAGGUUUAGCUCAAGGUGAUUCUGUUUGUGCAGCUUUUUCCGUGCUGCCUCUCUUCCCUUUUUAAUUUUAAUGCAGCGUUUGGGGUUUGUCUCCUGCAAGCCUCGCUGUCUGCUUUGUGGAGUAGCAGGAAGGCAGGAAAAGAUAUGACUAAGGAAGAUUAUGAUAUCAUUCUGGCUAAGUGCAAAUGCAUUUUAAAAAAUGCUUUGGCUUCUUACCAAGAGGAAGUGACAGAUGAUCUUUGGCAAUUUUAUUAAUGCAUCUUUUCUGUGUUGUUCUGCAUAUCCCCAUUAGUUUCUAGAAGCAGACAAGGACCAGCAUUAAUUUUCUAAAUCUUUGCUGUCUUCCCUCUCAAAAACCUUGUAGAGAUAUGGAAAACUCCAGCCCAGAUCUGCAAUUUUUUUCCCCCCCUUUAUGUAUAUAUGUGAAAUCCUUAUUUGAAUAUCUGCCCACUGGUUAUUUUAUACCGUCAUUUGCAUAGCUCAGCUUCCUCCUGACUCCUCAGCAAGAUUUAAAUACAACAGCCACCAGCCCAGCGUGUAUUAACAGGUCUGGGAGUUCACCUGGAUGUCUUCAGAGAGCUGUCACGUUCCCAACUGCAAAAUAAGGAAAGGAGCCACCGUGGCCAAGAAUUUUCUGGACAACUUCCUAAGCAAUGCUGGGAGCCACGGAGCAGCUCCUCUGCCACCACCACCUCCCUGAAGGUAUCAGGGUGACCUCUGAGGAUUCAGCAGCUCUCUGCUUCAGGAGCAGGAAGGACCUUCAGGGAUGUCAAAGAUCAACAUCUCCAGUCAAUGAACCUUCUCCUGAAGCUCAGGAAAUCAAUUCUCGGGGCUUUGGCUGCUCACAGUGACCCCAGAUGUGUUGGAAAGUCUCUUUUCCCAGCCCAGCAGUCGAAGAAAGGAGUCAGACCUCUUCAGCUCUCAUUCUCAAGGUUGUUUAUUGUUUCUUAUCUAUGAAAUUCUUUCUUUGGCCUGCUGAGGUCUGCUCAGCAGGACAGACAGAGGCACUCUGGUGUUAUCUUUUUACACUAAAAACUAGGUCUACAAUAUUUACCAUAACUUCCCAAUACCUAUCACCUAUGUUAGACAGUGAGCUUCUACUCUAAACCAAUCCCAAAGUGCCACCAUCACAGCAGAAGAUGGAGGCCAAGAAGAAGAAGGAGAAAGGUUGGACACGCCCAGAUUCCUCCAUCUUGCCUCCUGAACCCCCAUUCUAAAAACCCCAACAUCUUCUUUUUCACCCCGUGAUAACUUCAUUAUUACUCUAUCUAAACUGUUGUGGCUUGCUGAUCUUCAUCUAAGGUUGGUAAUUUGCUCAGAAUCAAACCCACAGGUGUUCUGGGCUCCGUGCCAGGGUCUCUGAGCCCCCUGGCAGGGUCUUGGACAGAGGGAUGUUCUGGGUUCCCACACCCAGGAUUUCACCCAUGUUAGACAGUGAGCUUCUCUUCUAAACCAAUCCCAAAGUGCCACCAUCACAGCAGAAGAUGGAGGCCAAGAAGAAGAAGAAGGAGAAAGGCUGGACAUGUCCAGAUCCCUCCAUCUUGCCCCCUGAACCCCCAUUCUAAAAACCCAAAAAAAAUCUAUUUUUCACCCCAUGACAAACUAAUUCUUGUUAUACUUAUAUUUUAUGUCUUGCAGAUCUUCGUACAAGGUUGGUAAUUUUUUCCAUGGGUCGCAAUCAAAGGCGCAGGGGUCUUGGGCUCUGUGCCAGGGUCUCUGAGCCCCCUGGCAGGGUCUGGGCACUCCAGGACAGACAGAGGGACGUCCUGAACUCCAGCAAUUGUUGGGCAGCAGCGUUUGGAGCAAACUGACAGCAGCAUUUACUCCUGGAUCACCGCAGCCCUGCCCUAAUUCAAUGUUCUCAGGCACCUUCAGGAUGUUAUGCUAAGCAAAGGCUGAGCUGUCAUUACAUUUUCAUGAAGUCAAUGCGGUUUCUAACAGCUCAGAAAAAAAGAAUUUACAGGAAUUGAUCAAAUAUCUCAUUUUUUCCAAGGGAAUCUGCUCCUCUGGAUUUCCCUGAGCUGUCAGCUCACGUUGACAUGAUCUGAUUGAUGCUGUUUGCCACAUUAAGGAACGUUGGGAGCUAAUCUGCUUUAAUCCCAUUCUCUGUUUCUAAUAUAAUACUCUUGAAGGUAACUGAAGGUUAUUACUUAUUUUAAAUAGCUUAAAUAUUUGUGUCAAAACAUUGGCCUCAAAGGUUCAAAUCCAGCCUUUGCCACACGGCUUGAGGGAGAGAAAAAAAAAAAAAAUAAAGAAAACCCCCAAACCAGCAAUGUUGAGACCAUUUGGAAUGAUCUAAUCCACGCUUCAAAUCCCUUUGUUCUCCUGUUCCCUUGCAGUGUUGGAGAGUUGGAGCUGAAUGCAAUUUAUUGGAUGGUUGGAGGAGUCUCUUCUCUUUGCAGCUCUGCAUUUUCCCAGCUCCCAGUUUGGAGGAAAGCUGCCAUUAUCACAGGGAAUUUUCUAAUGGGGAAAAACACUGAGAAUCCACAGGGAAAAUUGCUACCUUUAUUGCUGGGGGAGAAAACUGUGUUUUUUCCAAGAUUUUCAAAUCAGUAUUGGGGGAGAUUGAUUAACAAAAUAAAAAGAAGUCCUGAGGUAAUGAGAGUUGCACGUUACCUUAGAGGAAUCAUUUAUCUCCGUGCCAGUUGUUUAGCUGGCUUUGCCAAGCUUGGAAAUUUAGAUUUAUUGGUGCCAACACCAGCAAAGGAAACAUUUAACAGGCUUGGGCUCUGUGGAGGUGAGGAGGAAAAGCAGCAGAAAGGUGGAUGGGAUUGUGCAUCCAUGGCUUUUUUUGGUUUCUUAGGAAUAAACUCAGAUUGCUGAAUGAAAUGAUGAUUUUUAGGAAGAUGGGUGCAAGAUAGUGGGCAUGGAUUAAACUCCAGCAUUUCACUGAUGUCAGGACUUAAAUUACUGAUUUUUCAACUUUAAUUUUGCCUGUUCUGGGGCAAUAUUUUGUGGUUACUCAGCUUGGCUGUUCCAGGACAAAGCUCCUCUGCUUUUUCCAAAAAUUCUGGAAUGGGAGCCCCCAUGUUUGUGUUUGGCUGGGGCUGCUGUUGUUUGCCCCACGCACUCAGAGCUCACAUUGGCUUUUUUUGGUUUGUUUUCUUAGGAAUAAAUUCAGAUUGCUAAAAGAAAAUAUCAUUUUUAGGAA